AGUGAACGCUGGCGGUAGGCCUAACACAUGCAAGUCGAACGGCAGCACAGUAAGAGCUUGCUCUUACGGGUGGCGAGUGGCGGACGGGUGAGGAAUACAUCGGAAUCUACUUUUUCGUGGGGGAUAACGUAGGGAAACUUACGCUAAUACCGCAUACGACCUACGGGUGAAAGCAGGGGAUCUUCGGACCUUGCGCGAUUGAAUGAGCCGAUGUCGGAUUAGCUAGUUGGUGGGGUAAAGGCCCACCAAGGCGACGAUCCGUAGCUGGUCUGAGAGGAUGAUCAGCCACACUGGAACUGAGACACGGUCCAGACUCCUACGGGAGGCAGCAGUGGGGAAUAUUGGACAAUGGGCGCAAGCCUGAUCCAGCCAUACCGCGUGGGUGAAGAAGGCCUUCGGGUUGUAAAGCCCUUUUGUUGGGAAAGAAAAGCAGCAGGUUAAGACCCCGCUGUUCUGACGGUACCCAAAGAAUAAGCACCGGCUAACUUCGU
rnacentral:rRNA from 1 species